rnacentral:lncRNA from 1 species
UUUCUCCACAGCGCAGUCACGAGUCUUCAUCUGAGACAUGCUUUUCAAUACCGCGCGCACAUCCAGAUUAUUUUUUCACCAAUGUCGCCGCCCAUUGCGAUGUAGACGGUGCUCUUCAUUUUCGACAGCUUUGCACUAAGUAAAAACGAAACUAUUGUUUGCCGCAACCGCGGCCGCUGUGAACGUGAUCAUGCACGGCAACCUUGCAAUACUGAAGGCGCGCGGCCGACGCACGCACCGAGCCAAAACUAAACUACUUUUUGCCACAACUGCUGCAAAUGAAACCGCAAGCGCUAUCAACGCAUUGAUAGAUGGCAACUAC